UCCUGGUUAACCCAGGCAGUCUCAUUAGAGUUCCCACCUUUACGUGUUGGCAACUAAUGACAAGGGUUGCGCUCGUUGCGGGACUUAACCCAACACCUCACGGCACGAGCUGACGACAGCCAUGCAGCACCUGUGCAAAGGCUCCGAAGAGAGCUAACAUUUCUGCUAGCGUCCUCUGCAUGUCAAGUCUGGGUAAGGUUCUUCGCGUUGCAUCGAAUUAAACCACAUGCUCCACUGCUUGUGCGGGUCCCCGUCAAUUCUUUUGAGUUUCACCCUUGCGAGCGUACUCCCCAGGCGGUAUACUUAUCGCGUUAGCUACGACACAGUCAGGGUUGAAUCCAACUACAUCUAGUAUACAUCGUUUACGGCAAGGACUAC
rnacentral:misc_RNA from 1 species